GGUUAGGUUAGGUUAGGUUUGGUUAGGUUAGGUUACGUUAGGUUGAGAGAGAGAGAGAGAGAGAGAGAGAGAGAGAGAGAGAGAGAGAGAGAGAGAGAGAGAGAGAGAGAGAGAGAGAGAGAGAGAGAGAGAGAGAGAGAGAGAGAGAGAGAGAGA